GGGCCUGUAGCUCAGCUGGCAGAGCAGUAGACUUUUAAUCUAUUGGUCGUGGGUUCGAAUCCCACCGGGCCCA
rnacentral:tRNA from 1 species